rnacentral:rRNA from 1 species
GAUGAACGCUGGCGGCGUGCCUAAUACAUGCAAGUCGAGCGAACAGAUGAGGAGCUUGCUCCUCUGACGUUAGCGGCGGACGGGUGAGUAACACGUGGAUAACCUACCUAUAAGACUGGGAUAACUUCGGGAAACCGGAGCUAAUACCGGAUAAUAUAUUGAACCGCAUGGUUCAAUAGUGAAAGACGGUUUUGCUGUCACUUAUAGAUGGAUCCGCGCCGCAUUAGCUAGUUGGUAAGGUAACCGCUUACCAAGGCAACGAGGCGGAGCCGACCUGAGAGGGUGAUCGGCCGAACGGGAAGUGAACCACGGCCCAGGCUCCUAAGGGAGGCAGCAGUAGGGAAUCUUCCGCAAUGGGGGAAAACCUGACGGAGCAACGCCGCGUGAGUGAUGAAGGUCUUCGGAUCGUAAAACUCUGUUAUUAGGGAAGAACAAAUUUGUAAGUAACUAUGCACGGCUUGACGGUACCUAAUCAAAAAGCCACGGCUAACUACGUG